rnacentral:rRNA from 1 species
ACAGCAGUAGCCGCGGUAAAACGUAGGUGGCGAGCGUUGUCCGGAAUCAUUGGGCGUAAAGGGAGCGCAGGCGGGCAUGUAAGUCUUUCUUAAAAGUUCGGGGCUCAACCCCGUGAUGGGAAAGAAACUACAUGUCUUGAGUACAGGAGAGGAAAGCGGAAUUCCCAGUGUAGCGGUGAAAUGCGUAGAUAUUGGGAGGAACACCAGUGGCGAAGGCGGCUUUCUGGACUGCAACUGACGCUGAGGCUCGAAAGCCAGGGGAGCGAACGGGAUUAGAUACCCCAGUAGUCCCUGUCUCUUAUACA